rnacentral:rRNA from 1 species
AACGAACGCUGGCGGCGUGCCUAACACAUGCAAGUCGAGCGAGAAAGUCCCUUCGGGGGCAAGUAGAGCGGCGGACGGGUGAGUAAUACGUGGGUAAUCUACCUUUGAGAUCGGGAUAACCCUGCGAAAGUGGGGCUAAUACCGGAUAAGACCACGUGGCAUAAGCUACGAGGUAAAAGGUGGCCUGUAUUCAUACAAGCUAUCACUUAAAGAGGGACCCAUGGCCUAUCAGCUUGUUGGCGAGGUAAUAGCUCACCAAGGCUAUGACGGGUAGCUGGUCUGAGAGGACGGCCAGCCACACUGGGACUGAGACACGGCCCAGACACCUACGGGGGCUG